CAGCAGCCUCUGGAAGAGCUCUAUAGUCAAAUAGUUUGGAGUUUCAACUUUUAAGGCAGAAGAUGACAGUGAAGUGUACUCAGUUCAGAUUUCAUCUGCCAAUGUUGAAAGGUUGAUGAGAAAGGACUGCUAUGCUGAAGAGCAAGGUUUCCAAAAACAGAAUAGCUCAACCUACAAAAUGAUGUUGGAAAGAAGUUGCAGAGGAGCAGGCGAAGGCCAAGGACCUAAAAAGGAAAAGCAGGCAUGGGGAAAUGGGGCUGGAGAGCUCACAAAUAUUUAUGGGGCAUGCAGCUCCUCUGCUAAGUGCUUUCACAGCUCAAAUCAUUUAAUUGGGAAGGUAUAAUCCCAAAGCUAUAUCAAAUAGCAUUUAGAGUUACAAAACAGAAUUUAUAUUUCAGGCUAAAAGCAAUAUCAGGGUUAGAAGGAAGCGACACUGCCUGAGAAAUAGAUGUGGGAAGAAGGGCCAUAGCAACAAUGUGUCUUGGAAUGGGCCAUAAGAACCAAUUAUUGGCCGAGGUUAUCGGGAAAAUACUAGGGCAUAUGUUGUGAUCAUAAGCAAAGAGUUUAUUGCAUCUUAUUUAAAAGCAUGUGUGGCAUCAGGGGGAUUUCUUUUCUCUACUUUGAUGUUACAAGUGGAAGGGUCUACAGCUUCCGGCUCCACCAGGAAACUCUCCUCUUCCAGGAAAGAGGAGUAGCUUAUAGGAUGGUAAGCUUGGAAGAAGCUGAAGGUGCUUGUCCCAGUCCUUUCUUCCUUCCUCUUUGGGGAUUUGCCACCUACAAAAAGCACAUCUCACUCUGCUCUUCCGCAGCACCCAGAGGAGACACCUGCAUACCUGAUGCUGCCCUGACUGAUUGGGGAGCUAAGUCUCUUGCAGCGGGCAUAUUUGGGAAUCCAUUGUUGCUGCACAUGUAAAUCAUGGCCUUCAAAUCCAGCUGACCCUGUAGCAGAAACACAGAACUUGGUUACCAGUGAUUUUUAUCUGCAUUGGAUCUACUUUAAUAAACCCCACAGCCUGAAUAGCAGCUACUAGGGUAGUGCCAGUGGAUGUAUAUGGAGACUGGGCUGGAAUGGCUGAGUGUGUGGGUGCGCAGCUGGGAGCAGCCAUGGCAGUAAGUAGACAGCCAGUAACUUCUGAUAAAAGGGAGUAUCUGAAAACUGAAAGGCCCCAUAGGAAUGCCAACAACAUUUCAGAAGUUUUCAACCCAAAUUAAAGACGAAAAAAGUGAAGUAGAUGAUGCAAUAAAGAGUUGGCAAAUUCCCAGCUGGGCGCGGUGGCUCACGCCUGUAAUCCCAGCACUUUGGAAGGCCAAGGCGGGCGGAUCACGAG
rnacentral:lncRNA from 1 species